rnacentral:rRNA from 1 species
UAUCACUAAGCGGAGGAAAAAAAACUAACAAGGAUUCCGCUGGUAACUGCGAGUGAACAGGGAUUAGUCCAGUACCGAAGCCUGUGGUUAUUUGACUGCAAGGCAAUGUGGUGUUUAGGUUUGUUCUUGGCAUUACUGCUCUGCCACAAGUCCAGCAAUGAGUACGGCAUACCGUUCUGGCCCAUAGAGGGUGAAAGGCCCGUGGGGGUUGAGACCAAGCAUGACAGUUUUGUCCAGAGCUUACCUUGGAGUCGGGCUGUCUGAGAAUGCAGCCCAAAGUGGGUGGUAAACUCCAUCCAAGGCUAAAUAAUUGCAAGAGUCCGAUAGUAAAUAAGUACCAUGAGAGAAAGUUGAAAAGUACUUUGAAGAGAGAGUAAACAGUGCGUGAAACCGCUCAGAGUUAACGGGUGGAUUUGAACUGCGAUCCUUGGGAAUUCAGCUGAUGAGCAUGAUUUGUGCCUGGGCAUAUUGACCGCCUUUCAGUAUCUGCUUAGCUGUGGGUGCCUGCCUCUGGUGGGUAUGUGUGGUGCGCUUAUCAUGCGCCACACGCAUUGGAGGGUGUAUAAGUCUGCUUGUCGGUGCACUUUCUCAGGGUGUUCACCACGACCGGCACUGCUGUUUGUCUACUUUGGUCAAACUGAUCGGGUCUGAUUAACGUUGGGCUUGGUUGGGUUUGCAGGUGACUCACUGGUCCAUUCUGUGGGCUAUGAGUGCUACUAGCCGGCUUUAGUGGAUCUGUACGGUGUGUCGGAGACAGCGGCUUUGCAUAUGCGCUCUGUCCUUCAAGCGUGGUUGAGUCUGGUCGACUUGUCGCUAGUUUCGGCUGGUCAGUUGAUGGCUUGAUCAUGUUCAGUUGGCAGUGGUGUGUGUGUCUUAGUUUGGGCCGAUAGUCUGUGGUGUUGUGGUAGACAAUCCACCUGACCCAUCUUGUAACACGGACCAAGGAGUUUAACAUGUGCGCGAGUCAUUGGGUUUUACGAAACCCAAAGGCGCAGUGAAGGUAAAGGUUUGGCUUGUCCAGGCUGAGGUGAGAUCCUGUUGUUUUGCUCAUUCGUUCCAAGCUGCGAGCAGCAGGCGCAUCACCGGCCCGUCCCACGACGUAGAUAUGUGGCCUUGUGCUAUGUGCACCGAAGGGGCGGAGCAAGGGCGUACAUGUUGAGACCCGAAAGAUGGUGAACUAUGCUUGCGAAGGUGUAGGACCGUAGCGAUUCUGACGUGCAAAUCGAUCGUAUAACGUGAGUAUAGGGGCGAAAGACUAAUCGAACCAUCUAGUAGCUGGUUCCCUC